UGUAACAGGUGGCACCAUUAGGUGUCGCACUCUCUCCAGCCUGUGCCUCCAUAAAAGGGAAGCUGGAAGGGUGGUGGCCAGGUGUCAAUUUCCCGUGUGUUAGACCAGCUGUGUGUUGGGUCCACGCUGUUUGCUGGCUGUGGACUGUAUUGUUGAUGGUGUUCGGCUGGUAGCGUUACCUGGGUGUGGGUGUUCGACGCCGCAGGGUUGCACCAGAUCGGAUACACCAAGAUUUGAUUUGGAAGUGUUUAUUUAUGCAAUGCAGUUUUUGCACUGCCUCCUGCUGUCCUUUUAGCUUUUGGUUUUUUUCUUUUUGUUAGUCCGCCCAGUUAGGAUCGUUUUUGCUUGUAGUACUUGUGAGGGCGGGCUGACAACUUUUCCAUUCAUUUUGUUUGUUGUUUAUUUUGUGGCACUUCCCUAAAUACUUACAUCCUGUUUGGUGUGAUCCCCAUGUUGGGUUGACAACAAACGGAUAAAGCUAGCGGGAAUCCUUUAUGUAUUUAAUAAUAAAUAUCAAUAAUGAACUUAAUUCCUGUUGUUGAUUAUUACGCCUUGGCUGGUCCAA